rnacentral:rRNA from 1 species
UACAGAGGUCCCGAGCGUUGUUCGGAUUCACUGGGCGUAAAGGGUGCGUAGGUGGCGUGGUAAGUUUGAUGUGAAAGCUCAGGGCUUAACCCUGAAAUGGCAUUGAAUACUACUGUGCUGGAGGUUUGGAGGGGGGAGCUGGAAUUCUUGGUGUAGCAGUGAAAUGCGUAGAUAUCAAGAGGAACACCAGUGGCGAAGGCGAGUCCCUGGACAACACCUGACACUGAGGCACGAAAGCUAGGGGAGCAAACAGG